AUUGAACGCUGGCGGCAGGCUUAACACAUGCAAGUCGAGCGGAGAUGAGGUGCUUGCACCUUAUCUUAGCGGCGGACGGGUGAGUAAUGCUUAGGAAUCUGCCUAUUAGUGGGGGACAACAUUCCGAAAGGAAUGCUAAUACCGCAUACGCCCUACGGGGGAAAGCAGGGGAUCUUCGGACCUUGCGCUAAUAGAUGAGCCUAAGUCGGAUUAGCUAGUUGGUGGGGUAAAGGCCUACCAAGGCGACGAUCUGUAGCGGGUCUGAGAGGAUGAUCCGCAACACGGGGCCGGAGACACGGCCCAGACUCCUACGGGAGGCAGCAGUGGGGAAUAUGGGACAAUGGGCGGAAGCCUGAUCCAGCCAUGCCGCGUGUGUGAAGAAGGCCUUUUGGUUGUAAAGCACUUUAAGCGAGGAGGAGGCUACCUGGAUUAAUACUCUAGGAUAGUGGACGUUACUCGCAGAAUAAGCACCGGCUAACUCUGUGCCAGCCGCCGCCGUAACAC
rnacentral:rRNA from 1 species